GCUUUAAAAUUUUAUUUUGCUUUUAAUUAACAAAAAGAAGCGUAAGAAAGAUAGGAGGGCAAUGCCUAAUUUCCUCUGCUCUCAGGGAGGCAGGGAGAGAUACCAUUCUGCAAAUUCAAAUGUAAUAAUUUGGUCAGCUGUUAAAACAGAAGUUCUUCAGGAACACUUGUUUUAUGGGCAGUAAGGUAUGUGUUAAUAUCUGUACCCAUUACAGAUGUACUCUGUUCUCUGAUAACAUAAGCCUAUCCUUGAAAAUGUGCUUUGAACAAAGGAGUCUUGUUAAGAUUCUAAGACUUCAAGACAAUCAUUGCUGUGUUAUCCUGUGAAAACAAACUCUCCAAGAAAGCUGAAAUUGGCUGGGCGCGGUGGCUCAUGCCUGUAAUCCCAACACUUUGGGAGAUCAAGGCAGGUGGAUCACCUGAUGUCAGGAGUUCGAGACCACGAUCCUCCCACCUCAGUGUCCUCAGUAGCUGGGACUACAGGUGUGCACCACUAUACCUGGGUAAUUUUUGUUUUUCGUUUUCGUUUUAGUAGCGGCAGCGUCCUGCUAUGUUGCAGGUUGGUCUCAAACUCAAACUCCUAGCCUCAAGUGGUCCUCCCACGUCAGCCUCCCAUGUAGCUGGGAUUACAGGUGCACAAUACUACGUUAUGCUAAUUUUUCUAAGUUUUAGUAGAGAUGGGGUCUCACCAUGUGGCCCAGGCUGGUCUCAAGUGACCCUCCCACCUCGGCCUCCCAAAGUGCUGGGAUUACAAGCAUGAGCCGCCGCACCCAGCCUGGAUUUACAACCUCUACUAUAUUCUCUUAAUCACACAACCUCUCAGACAUUCUGUCACUCAUACAGUCAUUUUCUGUGUCAUGGAUUCCAGCCUUACUACAGUCUCCUUCUAACAGUUUCACACACACAAUCAUGUUUAACAGCCUGUCUCAUUCAGUCAAUAUUGCCAAUAUUUUCUCUCACCAGUCAGUUCCUUACAUAUGCAUGCACACUCACACAAUCUCAUGAAAUGUUGAGCCACUCAUUUGGCCUGUUACUUUCUCACAUACACAAAUAGUCACUGAUUUAUAGUCACCACUAACUAGUCUCUCAUGAAGUUUCCCACACAUGCACAAAAAUCACCACCUCUCCUACCCCUUUCUCACUCAAGCCACUUUUUCACACACCCACGAUCCCCGAUUACAGCCUCUCCCACGAAGACAUUCACACGCAUACACAAUCACACAGUAUCUCAGACACCGCCGUCACCUAGUUUCACGUUUCUUCUCAGUCAGCUUCCAGCACCCUCAGUCCUUGAUUUACAGCCUUUCAUAAAGUCUCUUGCAAAGGGUUUUACCAAUGGUAUAAUCAGUUUCUCAGCCACUGUCUGAGUCAUCACUGUCCCUCAGUCAGCUUCUGAUAUACUCGGUCACUAUUUCACAAUCACCAUUAGGCCCUUGAUAAGUCACCUACAGUCACCCAGGCCCUGUCUCGGUCGUGCACACCGUCAUUUUCUUCAUAUGGGAAGCUCAGCAUGGACACACGUGCACAGCUUUACAAGUUUCUCACACACUGCCACGUGGUCACUCGCCGUGUCUCAUUUGCUCAGCUCUUUUGCGUGGCCCCGGAUUUAUGGUUGCUUAUGAACUCUUUCACAAACCCCCUGACGCUCUGACAUCACUCAGUUGUCAAGCUCCUCUCCCACAGUUGCUGACUCCCAGUUACUGCUACUGCAAGUCUCUCAUCAACAGUUCCUUGCCCCUUUCCCUCGCAUGCCCAGUGACGCGGUCUCUCACACCAUGUCAGUGGCUCCGUCCGGCUCACUGUCAUUUUCUCUCCCACUUCCUCACAGUUCCUGAACCUGUGGGACAGAAUGUGGCAGUAACGGUAAAUCGAUUUGCCACUAGUUUCAGGUGUACACACACACACACACACACACACACACGGCCUGUCACACUCUCCCAGUCACAGCCAUUCGUUUUGUUUCUCAGUCUUUGCUACAGUCUGUCUCUCACGCCUGCUUUCGUACACACAGUUGCACCUUCUUGUAUCUUUGGUCUCAGUUGCUGGUUUGGUCUCAUAGCCAUUCUCUCUCGUACAAUCAAGUUCGCACCC
ensembl:lncRNA